rnacentral:miRNA from 1 species
CAGCAGUCCCUCCCCCUG